rnacentral:rRNA from 1 species
UGCAGUGGGUACGGGCAGACUAGAGUGCGGUAGGGGAGAUUGGAAUUCCUGGUGUAGCGGUGGAAUGCGCAGAUAUCAGGAGGAACACCGAUGGCGAAGGCAGAUCUCUGGGCCGUUACUGACGCUGAGGAGCGAAAGGGUGGGGAGCAAACAGGCUUAGAUACCCUGGUAGUCCACCCCGUAAACGUUGGGAACUAGUUGUGGGGUCCAUUCCACGGAUUCCGUGACGCAGCUAACGCAUUAAGUUCCCCGCCUGGGGAGUACGGCCGCAAGGCUAAAACUCAAAGGAAUUGACGGGGACCCGCACAAGCGGCGGAGCAUGCGGAUUAAUUCGAUGCAACGCGAAGAACCUUACCAAGGCUUGACAUAUACGAGAACGGGCCAGAAAUGGUCAACUCUUUGGACACUCGUAAACAGGUGGUGCAUGGUUGUCGUCAGCUCGUGUCGUGAGAUGUUGGGUUAAGUCCCGCAACGAGCGCAACCCUCGUUCUAUGUUGCCAGCACGUAAUGGUGGGAACUCAUGGGAUACUGCCGGGGUCAACUCGGAGGAAGGUGGGGAUGACGUCAAAUCAUCAUGCCCCUUAUGUCUUGGGCUUCACGCAUGCUACAAUGGCCGGUACAAAGGGCUGCAAUACCGUGAGGUGGAGCGAAUCCCAAAAAGCCGGUCCCAGUUCGGAUUGAGGUCUGCAACUCGACCUCAUGAAGUCGGAGUCGCUAGUAAUCGCAGAUCAGCAACGCUGCGGUGAAUACGUUCCCGGGUCUUGUACACACCGCCCGUCAAGUCAUGAAAGUCGGUAACACCUGAAGCCGGUGGCCCAACCCCUGUGGAGGGAGCCGUCGAAGGUGGAUGAUGCUUU